rnacentral:lncRNA from 1 species
UGCAAGACACCUGAACAUAUUAGUAUUAUUAGGUAAAGAGUUAGAUGAACUCUGUGAGGCAGUAUCCUUCAUUGACACCGUCUUCUUUGAUGCAAUACUCUUGAUGGAGUCUGUCUUAUGUUCUGUUUCAAAUGUAGAACAGAACUGCUUCUUAAGCUGGUCCAGACAUUUGGACAUAAUCUCUUCAGGAGAACAUUGUGGAUAUUUUCUGGAGAGUUUAGCUUUAAAACUGGCAAAAUAAUUGUCGGUAGAACCUUCAGACUGCUGAAUCAGUAUUGUCUUUCUUGAAGGUAGCUAAAUCAGAUUUAAUGGUGGCAAUUAUAUCAUCAUAUUUUUCUCUGGGCAUUCCCCCCCACCACUUGUAGCGAUAUUUUCUCUUAAGGACAGAAAUAUUUGUCUCUGUGUCCAUCUCUGCCGAUAUGAUCCACUUCAUUAUCCAUGGGAUCUUGUUCUGGAUUACGAACAGCAUCGGACAUAGCUCUGAAGGGAUGAUUAUCCACCCAUUCUUCAAAAUGUUGAAGUAUUGGUGAGGGCAGCAUGUUAAUUUCUAGCCCAAACUUGGUUC